UACGUAGGUGACAAGCGUUGUCCGGAUUUACUGGGCGUAAAGAGCGCGCAGGCGGUCGUUCAAGUCGAGUGUGAAAGCCCCCGGCUCAACUGGGGAGGGUCACUCGAUACUGAUCGACUCGAAGGCAGGAGAGGGAAGUGGAAUUCCCGGUGUAGUGGUGAAAUGCGUAGAUAUCGGGAGGAACACCGGUGGCGAAGGCGGGUCUCUGGGCCGACAUUGACGCUGAGGAGCGAAAGCGUGGGGAGCGAACAGG
rnacentral:rRNA from 1 species